AUAGGUUAAGUUAAUAAGGGCGCAUGGUGGAUGCCUUGGCACUAGAAGGCGAUGAAGGACGUGACUAACUACGAUAUGCCUCGGUUAGCUGUAAGUAAGCUUACCCGGGGGUUUCCGAAUGGGGCAACCCGAUCUUAAUGAUCAUCAUCUUUUUGAAUUCAUAGAUUAGAUGAAGCAAACGCUGUGAACUGAAACAUCUCAGUAGCAGUAGGAAAGUAAAGAAAUUUCGAUUCCGUCAGUAGCGGCGAGCGAACGCGGAAGAGCCCAAACCUGGAUGCUUGCAUCCAGGGGUUGUAGGACUGAUGUUGAGUUACAAAGGUAUAAGAUAGCAGAAACAGUUGGGAAGCUGUUCCAAAGAGGGUGACAGGCCCGUAUGCGAAAUCUUGUACUCUCUAAUCAGGAUCCUGAGU
rnacentral:rRNA from 1 species